GACGAACGCUGGCGGCGUGCUUAACACAUGCAAGUCGAACGAAGUGGCGAACGGGUGAGUAACGCGUAAUCAACCUGCCCUUCAGAGGGUGACAACAGGUGGAAACGACUGCUAAUACCGCAUACUGUAGGAGGGGAUUGCGUGUGAUUUGCGAGUGGGGGGGGUAACGGCCCCCCAAGGCGAGGAGCAGGAGCCGGUCUGAUAGGAGGAACUGCCACAGUGGGACUGGGACACGGCCCAAACGCCUACGGGAGGCAGCAGUGGGGAAGCUUCCGCAAUGGACGAAAGUCUGACGGAGCAACGCCGCGUGAGUGAUGACGGCCUUCGGGUUGUAAAGCUCUGUUAAUCGGGACGCGGUACCGGAAUAGAAAGCCACGGCUAACUACGUGCCAGCAGCCGCGGUAAUAC
rnacentral:rRNA from 1 species